UUUUGAGUUCCAAAAAGGCUUUGAAAAGAGCUUUCUCCUUUUUUAAACCUUAGUCUUUUUACCCAUUUGAGUUUUAGGAAUUUGAAACCAAUAGGGUUUUGAGCAUAAAAAGGGUUUAUUGCAUUAUUAAGCGACCCCAUAUUUUUGGUGUUUAAAUUUGGGUACAAAAGCUAUAUGGUUUUAUUAUUUAUAAAGCCCUAAAGGCAAUCUUAUAAGCAAAACUAUUUUUAAAUAUUUUGUUUUGAGGGGAAAUCAGUACGAAAAGUUGAAUCAUAUUAUAAUAUGAUUUUACAAAUUUUCUGAGAUUUAUUUGAAUUGAUUUGGAGUUCAAAAUCAAAAGCUAUAAGGGAAAAACAGAAAAAAGAAAAGGGGAAAAGAAAAAGGAAAAAAAAAGAGAAUCGGACCAACCCAACUGGGCUGGCCCACUUACCUCGCGUGGGCCCGAGCCGCUGACAGGCGGGCCCCGCCUGUCGGACUCGUCUUCUCCGGAAGGCAAGCCCGCGGAAUCCCCACGAUGACUCAGAGUUGAUCUAAAAAGGUGAAUAGAUAUAGUCUUGCCCCACAAGUUAGUGUUCCUUUCCCCACCUACAUCUACCGAUUUCUUCUACAAGCUUGUAUGACCUUUUUUUUCUAGAUACCGAUGCUGGUUCCAGUGGGUAGGCCAGGUGGCCCUUGGCCUACCUAGAAUUUUAUUUAUUUAUUUUGCUGACCAAGUCUCCGUUCACAUGCGCAAGUACAUAGUUCAAAUUAUUAGAGAAUACAAGUCUUCUUAUGUGGGCCUAAGUCACCUCGGCCGGCAUGUAUCCUAAAACUCCUCACACA
rnacentral:lncRNA from 1 species